AGUCGGAGCAUAUUUGGCGUAUCAGAAACUACAGAACAAUUUUUCUACCCAUCUUAAAUACAGGAAGAAUAAUUGUAUGUCAUGAACCUGAUGUACAUUGGAGCAACAAGAUAUGGGGAAUAAAGGAUGCUUUGAAGACAGUAGAAGCUCCAUGACUAAGAAAGCUGAGUAGUGCUUCCGCCCUUCUGCUUCUGCUGCAAAUGACUUCCAGCUUCUAGGAGGAGGAUCCAGAGAAAAGGUGGUGCAGCAGUGGAGAGAGGGGCACAGGAUGGUGAAGGCCUGAAGACCUACUUUAUCUCUGAUAGUCAAGGUUAUCUCCUCUGCAGCCCUGGGCUCCGUACCCAGGACCUUUGACUUCACUUGAGUUCCCUGCUGUAUGGGUGUUGUGUGGUUGAGAGAGCGCAGGUGUCAAGCAGCCAUCAAAGAAGUUGAUGCCAGAGACGAAUUCAGAGCUCGUGCCAACAUGGAGGCUGAACAUCCUACUACUCAAGCUGAAGUGUUCUGAAAAAAGAAGGGAGAUGGGAGAGAAGAAGACAGCACUGGAAGCAAACAGGACAGGGGUAAUCAAACCAUAGAAAUAGAAAUAGAAAGCUAGAAGGAGCCAAGGCUGGAAGAAAACCCCAGGAAAAUCCUUAGGAAGUCAGAGUUUAUCUUGGUUCAAAUCAUUCUUUAAUAAUAUUCUGUAUAGACGGUUUUGUUAGUAGAAAUCUCUGGGCCUGGAAAGGUCACCAAUUUCAUUCUUAUGUAUAAAUGUGGAUUCCAACUUUAAUUAAAUUUCUGAAUUACAUCUUGUGCUGUCCAGACUACAGCAAGGACCAUGACCUCAUGUACUGAGCUUGAGAAAAGAAAGUGGCUUUCAUUCUUCUCUGGACGCACUGUGAGAGACCUGGUGUUUGUAAUUCUAUGUCCAUUGGCAGGAUGGCUUUGUUCCUUCCCAGGACCAGCAUGGAGGUGCCGUCUCUCUUGCAUUCAGAGGCAAGUGGGAUCAGCCGGACUGUGGGUCAUGGAAAGCACCAGCUACUCCUUUGACAUGCCAAGGGUGAUGAAAAGCAAUGAGAAGGAAAACACACUGUCUAAAGGACAAGGGUCCUUGUAUCCUUUAUUUUUGAAUGCAACCAGUAGGUUACACUUACACUGACACCUAGGCAUGGAUAUUAAAGAAACUUGGAGCGCUGCUGUGCAUGAGAAGCUGAGGCCCUGUAGCUAUUUCAUGGGAGACUUCAGAAAGAAAGGCAAAGCUUUUGACUAACUGCUCAUGGUGCUGAGUCCUCAGGGUGAGGCAUGCCCAGGCUUUGCAGCAUAGAAGGAAUACAGGCAUCUAACAUUGGCUGUCUGCUACCCUUGCUCUUGAUCCACAACAGGUGUACAAGCCAACCAUUUGCAGCAUUCUCAUCCUUGGAGGCAGGAGGGGGGCCAAUUCCACUCAACCCAGAGACUGAAAGUAGAGGGAAUCGAGACACUCUUAUCCUGUUUUAAUCAGAUUUUUCAUCAUUGUGACCAAAAGUACUGACAACAACAAUUUUAGUGGAUGAAAAAUUCACUGGGGCUCAUGGUUUCAGAGGUCUCAGUCCACAGGCAGCCAACUCCAUUGCUUUGAGUCCAAGUGAAACAGCAUAACUGGGUGGAAAGGUGUAGGGGAGGACAGGAGCUGGGUACAUGGCAACAAGGAACCAGAGAGACCUAUAGUUGGUCAGAGACAGAAUAUAAACCCCAAAGCAUGCUCUAGGCACCCUACCUGCCUACAGUUACCACCAGUUAAUCCAUUCUAGUGGAACAAUGCAUUGAUUAUGUUAAGGCUUUCAGAAGCCAAUCUUGCCACCUUUAAACUUUCUUGCAGAGUCUCACAUGUGAGUUUUUUGGGGACACUUCAGAUCUAAGCCAUAACAUAUCCAAAGAACGGAGAGUCCAUACUGUGUGAACAGCGAGCACGGCAGAUGCUGGAUGACCCCUGAAGUAUGUUUGGAUCUAACAGUCGUUCAUGAUUAAGCUUCUCAUCUUUAAAGCUGGAACUUUUCAAACCC